UCCUUCGCCUGCUGCUAGUCCCUUUCCCCACUCCUCUGCUGCUCCUCCUCUUAAAACUGCUGCUGCUCUUCUUUCCCACGUUCCUGCUCUGCACUCUGCUUCUCACCUCCGUUGCUGCUGUUUCUCUUCUGAACCUCUGCUACUGUUCAGCUCUGAACCUCUGCAUCUGUGUUGAAUGUGCUUUCAGUGUUCUUGAGAUGUGUAAACUGUUCAAUAUUCAGCUUACAAUUUGUAAAACUUUUGUGAUUCAGUGGUGUCUCUAUGUUAUACAUAUAGCUUGUGUACUGCUUGCUGCAGUAAAUUUCAGUUUGUAAGUUCCUGUGAUAGCUCCAGUACAUGUGACUUUUAUGUUGUCUCAAGUUCCUGUUAUAUAUAUACAUAUGUGUGUGUCUGUGAUGUGAUACAUUUAUGUUCUGUCCUACAACCUUAUUGUGUUAGCAUUUUAUUUCUCAUGUAAAACGAAAAUACCAAAAAUAUUAUUGAAGAUAAUCUGAACCUCCUUUGACCUUUUUGCAUUUUCUUUGGUGACGAUCUUUGGGUACAACCUUGUUUAGUGUAGGUUUUUUUUCUUGCAUUCAUAAUCUGAAUUGUGUUACCUAGCUUUAGCCAAGCACCGUCAUCGAUUUGCCUAGUCCCUGAUGAGAACACGACACUCGUAGUUUGGGGCGUAAAAACCCAGCUAUAUUACAAUUGAUCAUUUUGGCGCCGUUGCCGGGGACUAGCGUCGAGCGAUUGUGCGAAGCUAUAGACUAGGCUUAGUAUAGUUUUUGUUUAAAUUUCCAGUCAAAUUUAUUUCUGUGCUUCUUUUACCUUUUUACUUUUUGUUGCUUCGGCUUAUUAGGAUACUAACCCUCUCACCAAUGUUUCAUGUUUGUGAGCGUGUGUAGGAUAUCUUAUUAUUUGUAGGCUGAUUGACAGUUGCACCUGAACAUAUGGCUUUAGUACAUGAUCUUUGGUUGCCAAGUAGUUUGGACACGAUGACAGGGCCAAUUUGGCCAUCUAUUGAGGCCAAAAUUUUUGAGUUGAGGCCUGGACUUAUUGCUCUCGUCUUGCAGAAUCAGUUUAGAGGAUUACCCAAUGAAGACCCUCAUGAGCACAUUAGUAAUGUUCUGGAGUAUGCCAAUACAGUCCAGUAUCAUGGCGUUUCCCAAGAUACUAUCAAGUGUAUGUUGUUCACAUUCUCUCUCAGAGAUGCUGCUAAGGACUGGUACUAUUCUUUGCCAUCAAGAUCAUACACUUGGGGUGAUAUUUCACAAGCUUUCCUGCAUAGAUAUUUUCCACUUUACAAGCAAGCUGCAAUUCGUGACCAGAUCCUCAGUUUUGCGCAAGAUGGUAGUGAGAGCUUGUAUGCAGCUUGGGAGAGAUAUAAGUAUUUGCUUAGAAAAUGUCCUAAUCAUGGGCAAAAGGAUUGGUUAGUGCUUCAGAUAUUCUAUAGAGGGCUGACACAUGCUUCAAGAGAUCUUAUUGAUAUGUCAGCUGGUGGAACAAUCAUGAACAAGACCGUCGAGGGUGCAAUUAUUCUCAUUGAGAGCAUUGCCUUCCACCAAAUGCAAUGGGGUUAUGAAAGGCCUAGUUCAAAUCCGAAGGUUGCAAGCCUCGUGCAAUCAGAAGUUGUGUGUUCCAUAAGUGAACAGAAAUCAUCCAUGGUGCCUAAUAUUCAAAACCAGCAUGUUUCAUUCCGGGGACAACAACAUUUCAGAACUGAAUUAGAUCCUCCAUAUAGAACGAUUGAUCUUACUUCAAUUAUCCUUGAUGAUGAUUAUGAUAUUUUUCAAGAUGAUGAAACUACUGUAGAUCAGAUGGAAACCACAGUAGCAGAUCCAAUACCUCAUGGCAAUGAAACUGUCCAGAAUGAGUCAAAGCUGAAAGAAGAUGUUUAUGAGGAACCUACUCUGAUUGAUGCUAAGUUGAGACAACAAGAUAUGGAGAAAUUCACUUGUGUUAGUCAACUAUGUGACUGGUGGAAUUUAGUCGUGUCACCAAUUGCCCACACUUGUGUUACAACGGUAUCUGGGCUAUUUGUCAAGAAGAAAUCAUUAGCUCCACCGGUGGUUGCCUCUAUCACAGUUAAAGAGAGUAUCUCAGAGAAGAAUAGUGAAGAUGAGAUUCCAACUCCUGCACAUACAACUAAGCAAGUCGGAGCCAUUCCAAGGAGAGAGAUACAAGAGGUUGAGUCAAAUUUAGAAGAGUUGAUACUUCAAUAUCCUGAGAAGAUCCCACGUGUUGCUGAGCUGCAUGACUGGUGGAAGUCAUCAGUGUCACUGUUGAGACUUAGUAGUGAUGGUGAUGAGGAGAACAUUGCUCAGAAAGACAGCGAGGUAGUGAUCUCAACACCCCUACCAGAUCAUGUUAGUGAAUAUUCACAUAUGGGGACACUUCAGACUCAAUUAAGUGUUGCUGGUAGUAGCACCAUAGAAGAUCCAGAGGAAGAGAGUCCUCAACUUGAAGAAGAUUUACAAGAAGACAAGGAACAAGAUGAUCAAGAGCUGCAAUUUCCAAGUGAUCAAGUUGAAGACUCAUCAUCUACUACUCCUGAAGAAGUACAAGAAGCUGUUGUAGAUGAAGAUGAAGAACCUGAGAUUCAUUGGCCUAUUGUCAUACAUGAGCGCGAUGUGUCAGGUUUACCCAAUCCUCUUGAUGACAUGCUCCCUUGUGAUUUCUUUGCUUCUAACUUGCAUUGCAUGAUGCCAUCACUUAAGGUAGAUUUGAAAAACUAUUUGCUUGGACAUGAUCAUACACACCCUGUUAGUGGCAUUACUCUCAUUUGUGAUGAUCACAGUUACUUUCCUCGUGCUAGUUCUAUGCUUAAUGAAACAUAUCAUUCCCAUGUUAGUCUUGAGCUUAAUGAUAAAUAUCAUCCUCAUGUUAGCAUUGAGCUUACUGAUUUGUACCAUCCUAAACAUGUGCUUUAUAGCUAUGCUUAUGUAAUUGGGUACUCUAUAGAUGAUUUAGAGGGCAUUACCCUUGUCACUUGUAUUGUUUCCUUGGUUGAGUGCUCUUUCAGGUUGUUGCUUGUGCACGAUCCACUACAUGCUGACCAAGUCCGAGAUGACAUUCCCUGGGACCCCGGUGGACCCAUGGCAUGGGGAUGAGGAGAAGCAAGGAGCACACAUGAAGAGAGAAGCUGGAGCAGGCAUGAGGAUAGAGAAGCAAAAAGAGAAGAGCUGCAGCUUAGAGAGUCAUCAAGCGAGUGCUACUUCAUAGUGCCCGGUUAGCUGUUUCAUGACCCAUUCUGAGUAUAUCAUCCAUUGAUGCUUGCUGAAUUAAAUUGCUAUUUGGGUUGCUUGUGCCAUUUCUUAAAUGUUGUCCCACUGAAUUUCACCUUUGACAUGUGGUGCUUGAUGAGAAUAUGCGAACUAAUUGUUGAAUGCCUUGUAACUAGUGAUCUACACCCUGUUUGCUCUGCUAAAAGUAGUGAAAGCUAUUAGUUCUGAGUGCUCAAAUCCCUAGUACACUAGAAAACUAAAUCAUUUUCUGCAUUUACUAUGAUACACCUAGAUCACCAUGUUUAGAUGCUGAAUUUGUGCCAAGUGUGUUCCCAUUGAGAGCAAUCACCUAACUACUAUGGAAUAUCAUGCUAUGUUCCCUGGAUCGGUAGCAUGUGAACCAGACAUGGAGAAGUGAUGAUUCCUAUUUUUGUGCUUAUGCAUUGUUCAUUUAAGAUAAGUAAUAAUGAAUAAAUUAGUCUGACUACCUACAGUAGCAUGUCAUGUUCUUGGGAUCGGUGGCAUGUGAAAUCGGGUUAGCUUGGGCAGUAAUUAUUAUAAAAAUGUAAUUGUCGAACCAGGUGUAUACCAUGUUCUCGGGAUCGGUGGUAUGUUCCUUUGGGGAGACAAACAAGAAAACUAUAUAAUUGGUCAAGCCGGGUGUAUACCAUGUUCUCGGGAUCGGUGGUAUGUUCCUUUGGUGAGAUCAAUAAAAUAUUAUCAUUACUUCCUUCAAAUUCAAUAAGUGGUUCAACCACAAAGUUAUAUUUCUGCAAAUAAGAGAUUUAAUUCCAGUUCUUUUUGUUCUCGGGAUCAUGCUCUCUUUAGGAAUCAUUUGGCGCAAUCAUCAUUUAAACUUGUUGGUCCUCUUUUAUCAUUGUAAAAGUUUAAAAUGGUCAUGCUUACCAGUAUCCUACUGCUUUGUAGCACUCUUAACCAUCAAUUUUCACUAGCUAAGUCCAAAAGCAUGCAUUGUUUAGAGAUCUACUUCACUUGGACAUUCUUUACUCAGUUCACUGUUCACAUUCUUGCUCUUGUCAUAUGCCUUUGCUUGAGGACAAGCAAAGAUUUAAGUGUGGGGGAACUUGAUAAGUAUAUUUCACAUAUAUAAUUUUGGUACUCAAAUAUAGCUUCUAUCGUGACAUAUUCGUCCAUUCUUGCCAUGAUUGNNNNNNNNNNNNNNNNNNNNNNNNNNNNNNNNNNCAUUACUUCCUUCAAAUUCAAUAAGUGGUUCAACAACAAAGUUAUAUUUCUGCAAAUAAGAGAUUUAAUUCCAGUUCUUUUUGUUCUCGGGAUCAUGCUCUCUUUAGGAAUCAUUUGGCGCAAUCAUCAUUUAAACUUGUUGGUCCUCUUUUAUCAUUGUAAAAGUUUAAAAUGGUCAUGCUUACCAGUAUCCUACUGCUUUGUAGCACUCUUAACCAUCAAUUUUCACUAGCUAAGUCCAAAAGCAUGCAUUGUUUAGAGAUCUACUUCACUUGGACAUUCUUUACUCAGUUCACUGUUCACAUUCUUGCUCUUGUCAUAUGCCUUUGCUUGAGGACAAGCAAAGAUUUAAGUGUGGGGGAACUUGAUAAGUAUAUUUCACAUAUAUAAUUUUGGUACUCAAAUAUAGCUUCUAUCGUGACAUAUUCGUCCAUUCUUGCCAUGAUUGAUUGAAUAUUGCUUGAUAAUCAUCAAAAAGGAUCAUUUACUAGUCUUUGGUCUAUCUUGCAGAAAUGUGCACAAAGGCACUAAUAAUCGUCAAGAUUCCGUCUAUGUGGCUAUCGAGAAGAGUGAAGAAGAGAAGAGAAGGAAGAAGAGACUUGUGUGAGAUGAAGAGAAGUAACCAGGGGGCUAGGUAAAGAAGUGGGAGGACCUUCUUGUGAAGAAAGAAGAGAAGAAAGAGGGCCAAAUCACAAAGUGCAGAUGAGAGGAGGGGAACAAAAUCCCUAGGCACUGGAGGGAUCCGAUCGGGCCUGGCCAUAUCUCCAUCUCUCUUCUCCCCCACCAGUUCUUCCACCUUAGGCCGCUGUCUCGGCCAGGCCGGCGUGGUGGUGCGCCUCUGCAGCCCAGCCACCACCAUCUCCAUCCAUCUCCGCUGCGCCACCAUCCACAUCAGCGCCCUGCGCCAUCCAUCACCAGCACCAACACCCAGCGCCACCCAGCACCUCCACACGCUCCACACCGCCGCCAUCCAUCACCACCGCACCACUGAACACCUCAGCGCGAGAGUUUCCCUGUUGCCGUCCUUCUUCCCUUGCCUCUGCUGCUGCUCUUGCUUGCGCCCCUGUGCUGCUGCCUUUCUUCUCCCCUUGCUACUGCUCCCCUUUUCUAGCGCCUCAACCUGCUGCUCCUUCUCCUCCGCCUGCUGCUAGUCCCUUUCCCACGCCUCUGCUGCUCCUCCUCUUAAAACUGCUGCUGCUCUUCUUUCCCACGUUCCUGCUAUGAACUCUGCUUCUCACCUCCGUUGCUGCUGUUUCUCUUCUGAACCUCUGCUACUGUUCAGCUCUGAACCUCUGCAUCUGUGUUGAAUGUUCUUUCAGUGUUCUUGAGAUGUGUAAAACUGUUCAAUAUUCAGCUUACAAUUUGUGAAACUUUUGUGAUUCAGUGGUGUCUCUAUGUUAUACAUAUAGCUUGUGUACUGCUUGCUGCAGUAAAUUUCAGUUUGUAAGUUCCUGUGAUAGCUCCAGUACAUGUGACUUUUAUGUUGUCUCAAGUUCCUGUUAUAUAUAUACAUAUGUGUGUGUCUGUGAUGUGAUACAUUUAUGUUCUAUCCUACAACCUUAUUGUGUUAGCAUUUUAUUUCUCAUGUAAAACGAAAAUACCAAAAAUAUUAUUGAAGAUAAUCUGAACCUCCUUUGCCCUUUUUGCAUUUUCUUUGGUGACGAUCUUUGGGUACAACCUUGUUUAGUGUAGGUUUAUUUUCUUGCAUUCAUAAUCUGAAUUGUGUUACCUAGCUUUAGCCAAGCACCGUCAUUGAUUUUCCUAGUCCCUCAUGAGAACACGACACUCGUAGUUUGGGGCGUAAAAACCCCGCUAUAUUACAAUUGAUCAUUUUGGCGCCGUUGCCGAUGACUAGCGUCGAGCGAUUGUGCGAAGCUAUAGACUAGGCUUAGUAUAGUUUUUGUUUAAAUUUCCAGUCAAAUUUAUUUCUGUGUUUCUUUUACCUUUUUACUUUUUGUUGCCUCGGCUUAUUAGGAUAGUAACCCUCUCACCAAUGUUUCAUGUUUGUGAGCGUGUGUAGGAUAUCUUAUUAUUUGUAGGCUGAUUGACAGUUGCACUUGAACAUAUGGCUUUAGUACGUGAUCUUUGGUUGCCAAGUAGUUUGGACACGAUGACAGGGCCAAUUUGGCCAUCUAUUGAGGCCAAAAAUUUUGAGUUGAGGCCUGGACUUAUUGCUCUCGUCUUGCAGAAUCAGUUUAGAGGAUUACCCAAUGAAGACCCUCAUGAGCACAUUAGUAAUGUUCUGGAGUAUGCCAAUACAGUCCAGUAUCAUGGCGUUUCCCAAGAUGCUAUCAAGUGUAUGUUGUUCACAUUCUCUCUCAGAGAUGCUGCUAAGGACUGGUACUAUUCUUUGCCAUCAAGAUCAUACACUUGGGGUGAUAUUUCACAAGCUUUCCUGCAUAGAUAUUUUCCACUUUACAAGCAAGCUGCAAUUCGUGACCAGAUCCUCAGUUUUGCGCAAGAUGGUAGUGAGAGCUUGUAUGCAGCUUGGGAGAGAUAUAAGUAUUUGCUUAGAAAAUGUCCUAAUCAUGGGCAAAAGGAUUGGUUAGUGCUUCAGAUAUUCUAUAGAGGGCUGACACAUGCUUCAAGAGAUCUUAUUGAUAUGUCAGCUGGUGGAACAAUCAUGAACAAGACCGUCGAGGGUGCAAUUAUUCUCAUUGAGAGCAUUGCCUUCCACCAAAUGCAAUGGGGUUAUGAAAGGCCUAGUUCAAAUCCGAAGGUUGCAAGCCUCGUGCAAUCAGAAGUUGUGUGUUCCAUAAGUGAACAGAAAUCAUCCAUGGUGCCUAAUAUUCAAAACCAGCAUGUUUCAUUCCGGGGACAACAACAUUUCAGAACUGAAUUAGAUCCUCCAUAUAGAACGAUUGAUCUUACUUCAAUUAUCCUUGACGAUGAUUAUGAUAUUUUUCAAGAUGAUGAAACUACUGUAGAUCAGAUGGAAACCACAGUAGCAGAUCCAAUACCUCAUGGCAAUGAAACUGUCCAGAAUGAGUCAAAGCUGCAAGAAGAUGUUUAUGAGGAACCUACUCUGAUUGAUGCUAAGUUGAGACAGCAAGAUAUGGAGAAAUUCACUUGUGUUAGUCAACUAUGUGACUGGUGGAAUUUAGUCGUGUCACCAAUUGCCCACACUUGUGUUACAACGGUAUCUGGGCUAUUUGUCAAGAAGAAAUCAUUAGCUCCACCGGUGGUUGCCUCUAUCACAGUUAAAGAGAGUAUCUCAGAGAAGAAUAGUGAAGAUGAGAUUCCAACUCCUGCACAUACAACUAAGCAAGUCGGAGCCAUUGCAAGGAGAGAGAUACAAGAGGUUGAAUCAAAUUUAGAAGAGUUGAUACUUCAAUAUCCUGAGAAUAUCCCACGUGUUGCUGAGCUGCAUGACUGGUGGAAGUCAUCAGUGUCACUGUUGAGACUUAGUAGUGAUGGUGAUGAGGAGAACAUUGCUCAGAAAGACAGCGAGGUAGUGAUCUCAGCACCCCUACCAGAUCAUGUUAGUGAAUAUUCACAUAUGGGGACACUUCAGACUCAAUUAAGUGUUGCUGGUAGUAGCACCAUAGAAGAUCCAGAGGAAGAGAGUCCUCAACUUGAAGAAGAUUUACAAGAAGACAAGGAACAAGAUGAUCAAGAGCUGCAAUUUCCAAGUGAUCAAGUUAAAGACUCAUCAUCUACUACUCCUGAAGAAGUACAAGAAGCUGCAGUAGAUGAAUAUGAAGAACCUGAUAUUCAUUGGCCUAUUGUCAUACAUGAGCGCGAUGUGUCAGGUUUACCCAAUCCUCUUGAUGACAUGAUCCCUUGUGAUUUCUUUGCUUCUAACUUGCAUUGCAUGAUGCCAUCACUUAAGGUAGAUUUGAAAAACCAUUUGCUUGGACAUGAUCAUACACACCCUGUUAGUGGCAUUACUCUCAUUUGUGAUGAUCACAAUUACUUUCCUCGUGCUACUUCUAUGCUUAAUGAAACAUAUCAUUCCCAUGUUAGUCUUGAGCUUAAUGAUAAAUAUCAUCCUCAUGUUAGCAUUGAGCUUACUGAUUUGUACCGUCCUAAACAUGUGCUUUAUAGCUAUGCUUAUGUAAUUGGGUACUCUAUAGAUGAUUUAGAGGGCAUUACCCUUGUCACUUGUAUUGUUUCCUUGGUUGAGUGCUCUUUCAGGUUGUUGCUUGUGCAUGAUCCACUACAUGCUGACCAAGUUCGAGAUGACAUUCCCUGGGACCCCGGUGGACCCAUGGCAUGGGGAUGAGGAGAAGCAAGGAGCACACAUGAAGAGAGAAGCUGGAGCAGGCAUGAGGAUAGAGAAGCAAAAAGAGAAGAGCUGCAGCUUAGAGAGUGAUCAAGCGAGUGCUACUUCAUAGUGCCCGGUUAGCUGUUUCAUGACCCAUUCUGAGUAUAUCAUCCAUUGAUGCUUGCUGAAUUAAAUUGCUAUUUGGGUUGCUUGUGCCAUUUCUUAAAUGUUGUCCCACUGAAUUUCACCUUUGACAUAUGGUGCUUGAUGAGAAUAUGCGAACUAAUUGUUGAAUGCCUUGUAACUAGUGAUCUACACCCUGUUUGCUCUGCUGAAAGUAGUGAAAGCUAUUAGUUCUAAGUGCUCAAAUCCCUAGUACACUAGAAAACUAAAUCAUUUUCUGCAUUUACUAUGAUACACCUAGAUCACCAUGUUUAGAUGCUGAAUUUGUGCCAAGUGUGUUCCCAUUGAGAGCAAUCACCUAACCACUAUGGAAUAGCAUGCUAUGUUCCCUGGAUCGGUAGCAUGUGAACCAGACAUGGAGAAGUGAUGAUUCCUGUUUUUGUGCUUAUGCAUUGUUCAUUUAAGAUAAGUAAUAAUGAAUAAAUUAGUCUGACUACCUACAGUAGCAUGUCAUGUUCUUGGGAUCGGUGGCAUGUGAAAUCGGGUUAGCUUGGGCAGUAAUUAUUAUAAAAAUGUAAUUGUCGAACCAGGUGUAUACCAUGUUCUCGGGAUCGGUGGUAUGUUCCUUUGGGGAGACAAACAAGAAAACUAUAUAAUUGGUCGAGCCGGGUGUAUACCAUGUUCUCGGGAUCGGUGGUAUGUUCCUUUGGUGAGAUCAAUAAAAUAUUAUCAUUACUUCCUUCAAAUUCAAUAAGUGGUUCAACCACAAAGUUAUAUUUCUGCAAAUAAGAAAUUUAAUUCCAGUUCUUUUUGUUCUCGGGAUCAUGCUCUCUUUAGGAAUCAUUUGGCGCAAUCAUCAUUUAAACUUGUUGGUCCUCUUUUAUCAUUGUAAAAGUUUAAAAUGGUCAUGCUUACCAGUAUCCUACUGCUUUGUAGCACUCUUAACCAUCAAUUUUCACUAGCUAAGUCCAAAAGCAUGCAUUGUUUAGAGAUCUACUUCACUUGGACAUUCUUUACUCAGUUCACUGUUCACAUUCUUGCUCUUGUCAUAUGCCUUUGCUUGAGGACAAGCAAAGAUUUAAGUGUGGGGGAACUUGAUAAGUAUAUUUCACAUAUAUAAUUUUGGUACUCAAAUAUAGCUUCUAUCGUGACAUAUUCGUCCAUUCUUGCCAUGAUUGAUUGAAUAUUGCUGGAUAAUCAUCAAAAAGGAUCAUUUACUAGUCUUUGGUCUAUCUUGCAGAAAUGUGCACAAAGGCACUAAUAAUCGUCAAGAUUCCGUCUAUGUGGCUAUCGAGAAGAGUGAAGAAGAGAAAAGAAGGAAGAAGAGACUUGUGUGAGAUCAAGAGAAGUAACCAGGAGGCUAGGUAAAGAAGUGGGAGGACCUUCUUGUGAAGAAAGAAGAGAAGAAAGAGGGCCAAAUCACAAAGUGCAGAUGAGAGGAGGGGAACAAAAUCCCUAGGCGCUGGAGGGAUCCGAUCGGGCCUGGCCAUAUCUCCAUCUCUCUUCUCCCCCACCAGUUCUUCCACCUCAGGCCGCUGCCACGGCCAGGCCGGCGUGGUGGAUCGCCUCUGCAGCCCAGCCACCACCAUCUCCAUCCAUCUCUGCUGCGCCACCAUCCACAUCAGCACCGCUGCGCCAUCCAUCACCAGCACCAACACCCAGCGCCACCUAGCACCUCCAAACGCUCCACACCGCCGCCAUCCAUCACCACCGCACCACUGAACACCUCUGUGCGAGAGUUUCCCUGCUGCCGUCCUUCUUCCCAUGCCUCUGCUGCUGCUCUUGCUUGCGCCCCUGUGCUGCUGCCUUUCUUCUCCCCUUGCUACUGCUCCCCUUUUCUAGCGCCUCAACCUGCUGCUCCUUCUCCUUGGCCUGCUGCUAGUCCCUUUCCCCACGCCUCUGCUGCUCCUCCUCUUAAAACUGCUGCUGCUCAUCUUUCCCACGUUCCUACUCUGAACUCUGCUUCUCACCUCCGUUGCUGCUGUUUCUCUUCUGAACCUCUGCUACUGUUCAGCUCUGAACCUCUGCAUCUGUGUUGAAUGUGCUUUCAGUGUUCUUGAGAUGUGUAAAACUGUUCAAUAUUCAGCUUACAAUUUGUGAAACUUUUGUGAUUCAGUGGUGUCUCUAUGUUAUACAUAUAGCUUGUGUACUGCUUGCUGCAGUAAAUUUCAGUUUGUAAGUUCCUGUGAUAGCUCCAGUACAUGUGACUUUUAUGUUGUCUCAAGUUCCUGUUAUAUAUAUACAUAUGUGUGUGUCUGUGAUGUGAUACAUUUAUGUUCUGUCCUACAACCUUAUUGUGUUAGCAUUUUAUUUCUCAUGUAAAACGAAAAUACCAAAAAUAUUAUUGAAGAUAAUCUGAACCUCCUUUGCCCUUUUUGCAUUUUCUUUGGUGACGAUCUUUGGGUACAACCUUGUUUAGUGUAGGUUUAUUUUCUUGCAUUCAUAAUCUGAAUUGUGUUACCUAGCUUUAGCCAAGCACCGUCAUCGAUUUGCCUAGUCCCCGAUGAGAACAUGACACUCAUAGUUUGGGGCGUAAAAACCCCGCUAUAUUACAAUUGAUCAUUUUGGCGCCGUUGUCGGGGACUAGCGUCGAGCGAUUGUGCGAAGCUAUAGACUAGGCUUAGUAUAGUUUUUGUUUAAAUUUCCAGUCAAAUUUAUUUCUGUGUUUCUUUUACCUUUUUACUUUUUGUUGCUUCGGCUUAUUAGGAUACUAACCCUCUCACCAAUGUUUCAUGUUUGUGAGCGUGUGUAGGAUAUCUUAUUAUUUGUAGGCUGAUUGACAGUUGCACUUGAACAUAUGGCUUUAGUACGUGAUCUUUGGUUGCCAAGUAGUUUGGACACGAUGACAGGGCCAAUUUGGCCAUCUAUUGAGGCCAAAAAUUUUGAGUUGAGGCCUGGACUUAUUGCUCUCGUCUUGCAGAAUCAGUUCAGAGGAUUACCCAAUGAAGACCCUCAUGAGCACAUUAGUAAUGUUCUGGAGUAUGCCAAUAUAGUCCAGUAUCAUGGCGUUUCCCAAGAUGCUAUCAAGUGUAUGUUGUUCACAUUCUCUCUCAGAGAUGCUGCUAAGGACUGGUACUAUUCUUUUCCAUCAAGAUCAUACACUUGGGGUGAUAUUUCACAAGCUUUCCUGCAUAGAUAUUUUCCACUUUACAAGCAAGCUGCAAUUCGUGACCAGAUCCUCAGUUUUGCGCAAGAUGGUAGUGAGAGCUUGUAUGCAGCUUGGGAGAGAUAUAAGUAUUUGCUUAGAAAAUGUCCUAAUCAUGGGCAAAAGGAUUGGUUAGUGCUUCAGAUAUUCUAUAGAGGGAUGACACAUGCUUUAAGAGAUCUUAUUGAUAUGUCAGCUGGUGGAACAAUCAUGAACAAGACCGUCGACGUUGCAAUUAUUCUCAUUGAGAGCAUUGCCUUCCACCAAAUGCAAUGGGGUUAUGAAAGGCCUAGUUCAAAUCCGAAGGUUGCAAGCCUCGUGCAAUCAUAAGUUGUGUGUUCCAUAAGUGAACAGAAAUCAUCCAUGGUGCCUAAUAUUCAAAACCAACAUGUUUCAUUCCGUGGACAACAACAUUUCAGAACUGAAUUAGAUCCUCCAUAUAGAACGAUUGAUCUUACUUCAAUUAUCCUUGACGAUGAUUAUGAUAUUUUUCAAGAUGAUGAAACUACUGUAGAUCAGAUGGAAACCACAGUAGCAGAUCCAAUACCUCAUGGCAAUGAAACUGUCCAGAAUGAGUCAAAGCUGCAAGAAGAUGUUUAUGAGGAACCUACUCUGAUUGAUGCUAAGUUGAGACAGCAAGAUAUGGAGAAAUUCACUUGUGUUAGUCAACUAUGUGACUGGUGGAAUUUAGUCGUGUCACCAAUUGCCCACACUUGUGUUACAACGGUAUCUGGGCUAUUUGUCAAGAAGAAAUCAUUAGCUCCACCGGUGGUUGCCUCUAUCACAGUUAAAGAGAGUAUCUCAGAGAAGAAUAGUGAAGAUGAGAUUCCAACUCCUGCACAUACAACUAAGCAAGUCGGAGCCAUUCCAAGGAGAGAGAUACAAGAGGUUGAGUCAAAUUUAGAAGAGUUGAUACUUCAAUAUCCUGAGAAGAUCCCACGUGUUGCUGAGCUGCAUGACUGGUGGAAGUCAUCAGUGUCACUGUUGAGACUUAGUAGUGAUGGUGAUGAGGAGAACAUUGCUCACAAAGACAGUGAGGUAGUGAUCUCAGCACCCCUACCAGAUCAUGUUAGUGAAUAUUCACAUAUGGGGACACUUCAGACUCAAUUAAGUGUUGCUGGUAGUAGCACCAUAGAAGAUCCCGAGGAAGAGAGUCCUCAACUUGAAGAAGAUUUACAAGAAGACAAGGAACAAGAUGAUCAAGAGCUGCAAUUUCCAAGUGAUCAAGUUGAAGACUCAUCAUCUACUACUCCUGAAGAAGUACAAGAAGCUGCUGUAGAUGAAGAUGAAGAACCUGAGAUUCAUUGGCCUAUUGUCAUACAUGAGCGCGAUGUGUCAGGUUUACCCAAUCCUCUUGAUGACAUGCUCCCUUGUGAUUUCUUUGCUUCUAACUUGCAUUGCAUGAUGCCAUCACUUAAGGUAGAUUUGAAAAACUAUUUGCUUGGACAUGAUCAUACACACCCUGUUAGUGGCAUUACUCUCAUUUGUGAUGAUCACAGUUACUUUCCUCGUGCUAGUUCUAUGCUUAAUGAAACAUAUCAUUCCCAUGUUAGUCUUGAGCUUAAUGAUAAAUAUCAUCCUCAUGUUAGCAUUGAGCUUACUGAUUUGUACCGUCCUAAACAUGUGCUUUAUAGCUAUGCUUAUGUAAUUGGGUACUCUAUAGAUGAUUUAGAGGGCAUUACCCUUGUCACUUGUAUUGUUUCCUUGGUUGAGUGCUCUUUCAGGUUGUUGCUUGUGCACGAUCCACUACAUGCUGACCAAGUUCGAGAUGACAUUCCCUGGGACCCCGGUGGACCCAUGGCAUGGGGAUGAGGAGAAGCAAGGAGCACACAUGAAGAGAGAAGCUGGAGCAGGCAUGAGGAUAGGGAAGCAAAAAGAGAAGAGCUGCAGCUUAGAGAGUGAUCAAGCGAGUGCUACUUCAUAGUGCCCGGUUAGCUGUUUCAUGACCCAUUCUGAGUAUAUCAUCCAUUGAUGCUUGCUGAAUUAAAUUGCUAUUUGGGUUGCUUGUGCCAUUUCUUAAAUGUUGUCCCACUGAAUUUCACCUUUGACAUAUGGUGCUUGAUGAGAAUAUGCGAACUAAUUGUUGAAUGCCUUGUAACUAGUGAUCUACACCCUGUUUGCUCUGCUGAAAGUAGUGAAAGCUAUUAGUUCUGAGUGCUCAAAUCCCUAGUACACUAGAAAACUAAAUCAUUUUCUGCAUUUACUAUGAUACACCUACAUCACCAUGUUUAGAUGCUGAAUUUUUGCCAAGUGUGUUCCCAUUGAGAGCAAUCACCUAACCACUAUGGAAUAGCAUGCUAUGUUCCCUGGAUCGGUAGCAUGUGAACCAGACAUGGAGAAGUGAUGAUUCCUGUUUUUGUGCUUAUGCAUUGUUCAUUUAAGAUAAGUAAUAAUGAAUAAAUUAGUCUGACUACCUACAGUAGCAUGUCAUGUUCUUGGGAUCGGUGGCAUGUGAAAUCGGGUUAGCUUGGGCAGUAAUAAUAUAAAAAUGUAAUUGUCGAACCAGGUGUAUACCAUGUUCUCGGGAUCGGUGGUAUGUUCCUUUGGGGAGACAAACAAGAAAACUAUAUAAUUGGUCGAGCCGGGUGUAUACCAUGUUCUCGAGAUCGGUGGUAUGUUCCUUUGGUGAGAUCAAUAAAAUAUUAUCAUUACUUCCUUCAAAUUCAAUAAGUGGUUCAACAACAAAGUUAUAUUUCUGCAAAUAAGAGAUUUAAUUCCAGUUCUUUUUGUUCUCGGGAUCAUGCUCUCUUUAGGAAUCAUUUGGCGCAAUCAUCAUUUAAACUUGUUGGUCCUCUUUUAUCAUUGUAAAAGUUUAAAAUGGUCAUGCUUACCAGUAUCCUACUGCUUUGUAGCACUCUUAACCAUCAAUUUUCACUAGCUAAGUCCAAAAGCAUGCAUUGUUUAGAGAUCUACUUCACUUGGACAUUCUUUACUCAGUUCACUGUUCACAUUCUUGCUCUUGUCAUAUGCCUUUGCUUGAGGACAAGCAAAGAUUUAAGUGUGGGGGAACUUGAUAAGUAUAUUUCACAUAUAUAAUUUUGGUACUCAAAUAUAGCUUCUAUCGUGACAUAUUCGUCCAUUCUUGCCAUGAUUGAUUGAAUAUUCCUUGAUAAUCAUCAAAAAGGAUCAUUUACUAGUCUUUGGUCUAUCUUGCAGAAAUGUGCACAAAGGCACUAAUAAUCGUCAAGAUUCCGUCUAUGUGGCUAUCGAGAAGAGUGAAGAAGAGAAGAGAAGGAAGAAGAGACUUGUGUGAGAUGAAGAGAAGUAACCAGGGGGCUAGGUAAAGAAGUGGGAGGACCUUCUUGUGAAGAAAGAAGAGAAGAAAGAGGGCCAAAUCACAAAGUGCAGAUGAGAGGAGGGGAACAAAAUCCCUAGGCGCUGGAGGGAUCCGAUCGGGCCUGGCCAUAUCUCCAUCUCUCUUCUCCCCCACCACUUCUUCCACCUCAGGCCGCUGUCUCGGCCAGGCCGGCGUGGUGGUGCGCCUCUGCAGCCCAGCCACCACCAUCUCCAUCCAUCUCCGCUGCGCCACCAUCCACAUCAGCGCCGCUGCGCCAUCCAUCACCAGCACCAACACCCAGCGCCACCCAGCACCUCCACACACUCCACACCGCCGCCAUCCAUCACCACCGCACCACUGAACACCUCCGCGCGAGAGUUUCCCUGCUGCCGUCCUUCUUCCCUUGCCUCUGCUGCUGCUCUUGCUUGCGCCCCUGUGCUGCUGCCUUUCUUCUCCCCUUGCUACUGCUCCCCUUUUCUAGCGCCUCAACCUGCUGCUCCUUCUCCUUCGCCUGCUGCUAGUCCCUUUCCCCAUGCCUCUGCUGCUCCUCCUCUUAAAACUGCUGCUGCUCUUCUUCCCCACGUUCCUGCUCUGCACUCUGCUUCUCACCUCCGUUGCUGCUGUUUCUCUUCUGAACCUCUGCUACUGUUCAGCUCUGAACCUCUGCAUCUGUGUUGAAUGUGCUUUCAGUGUUCUUGACAUGUGUAAAACUGUUCAAUAUUCAGCUUACAAUUUGUGAAACUUUUGUGAUACAGUGAUGUCUCUAUGUUAUACAUAUAGCUUGUGUACUGCUUGCUGCAGUAAAUUUCAGUUUGUAAGUUCCUGUGAUAGCUCCAGUACAUGUGACUUUUAUGUUGUCUCAAGUUCCUGUUAUAUAUAUACAUAUGUGUGUGUCUGUGAUGUGAUACAUUUAUGUUCUGUCCUACAACCUUAUUGUGUUAGCAUUUUAUUUCUCAUGUAAAACGAAAAUACCAAAAAUAUUAUUGAAGAUAAUCUGAACCUCCUUUGCCCUUUUUGCAUUUUCUUUGGUGACGAUCUUUGGGUACAACCUUGUUUAGUGUAGGUUUAUUUUCUUGCAUUCAUAAUCUGAAUUGUGUUACCUAGCUUUAGCCAACCACCGUCAUUGAUUUGCCUAGUCCCUCAUGAGAACACGACACUCAUAGUUUGGGGCGUAAAAACCCCGCUAUAUUACAAUUGAUCAUUUUGGCGCCGUUGCCGGGGACUAGCGUCGAGCGAUUGUGCGAAGCUAUAGACUAGGCUUAGUAUAGUUUUUGUUUAAAUUUCCAGUCAAAUUUAUUUCUGUGUUUCUUUUACCUUUUUACUAUUUGUUGCUUCGGCUUAUUAGGAUACUAACCCUCUCACCAAUGUUUCAUGUUUGUGAGCGUGUGUAGGAUAUCUUAUUAUUUGUAGGCUGAUUGACAGUUGCACUUGAACAUAUGGCUUUAGUACGUGAUCUUUGGUUGCCAAGUAGUUUGGACACGAUGACAGGGCCAAUUUGGCCAUCUAUUGAGGCCAAAAAUUUUGAGUUGAGGCCUGGACUUAUUGCUCUCGUCUUGCAGAAUCAGUUUAGAGGAUUACCCAAUGAAGACCCUCAUGAGCACAUUAGUAAUGUUCUGGAGUAUGCCAAUACAGUCUAGUAUCAUGGCGUUUCCCAAGAUGCUAUCAAGUGUAUGUUGUUCACAUUCUCUCUCAGAGAUGCUGCUAAGGACUGGUACUAUUCUUUUCCAUCAAGAUCAUACACUUGGGGUGAUAUUUCACAAGCUUUCCUGCAUAGAUAUUUUCCACUUUACAAGCAAGCUGCAAUUCGUGACCAGAUCCUCAGUUCUGCGCAAGAUGGUAGUGAGAGCUUGUAUGCAGCUUGGGAGAGAUAUAAGUAUUUGCUUAGAAAAUGUCCUAAUCAUGGGCAAAAGGAUUGGUUAGUGCUUCAGAUAUUCUAUAGAGGGAUGACACAUGCUUCAAGAGAUCUUAUUGAUAUGUCAACUGGUGGAACAAUCAUGAACAAGACCGUCGAGGGUGCAAUUAUUCUCAUUGAGAGCAUUGCCUUCCACCAAAUUCAAUGGGGUUAUCAAAGGCCUAGUUCAAAUCCGAAGGUUGCAAGCCUCGUGCAAUCAAAAGUUGUGUGUUCCAUAAGUGAACAGAAAUCAUCCAUGGUGCCUAAUAUUCAAAACCAGCAUGUUUCAUUCCGGGGACAACAACAUUUCAGAACUGAAUUAGAUCCUCCAUAUAGAACGAUUGAUCUUACUUCAAUUAUCCUUGAUGAUGAUUAUGAUAUUUUUCAAGAUGAUGAAACUACUGUAGAUCAGAUGGAAACCACAGUAGCAGAUCCAAUACCUCAUGGCAAUGAAACUAUCCAGAAUGAGUCAAAGCUGCAAGAAGAUGUUUAUGAGGAACCUACUCUGAUUGAUGCUAAGUUGAGACAGCAAGAUAUGGAGAAAUUCACUUGUGUUAGUCAACUAUGUGACUGGUGGAAUUUAGUCGUGUCACCAAUUGCCCACACUUGUGUUACAACGGUAUCUGGGCUAUUUGUCAAGAAGAAAUCAUUAGCUCCACCGGUGGUUGCCUCUAUCACAGUUAAAGAGAGUAUCUCAGAGAAGAAUAGUGAAGAUGAGAUUCCAACUCCUGCACAUACAACUAAGCAAGUCGGAGCCAUUCCAAGGAGAGAGAUACAAGAGGUUGAGUCAAAUUUAGAAGAGUUGAUACUUCAAUAUCCUGAGAAGAUCCCACGUGUUGCUGAGCUGCAUGACUGGUGGAAGUCAUCAGUGUCACUGUUGAGACUUAGUAGUGAUGGUGAUGAGGAGAACAUUGCUCACAAAGACAGUGAGGUAGUGAUCUCAGCACCCCUACCAGAUCAUGUUAGUGAAUAUUCACAUAUGGGGACACUUCAGACUCAAUUAAGUGUUGCUGGUAGUAGCACCAUAGAAGAUCCNNNNNNNNNNNNNNNNNNNNNNNNNNNNNNNNNNNNNNNNNNNNNNNNNNNNNNNNNNNNNNNNNNNNNNNNNNNNNNNNNNNNNNNNNNNNNNNNNNNNNNNNNNNNNNNNNNNNNNNNNNNNNNNNNNNNNNNNNNNNNNNNNNNNNNNNNNNNNNNNNNNNNNNNNNNNNNNNNNNNNNNNNNNNNNNNNNNNNNNNNNNNNNNNNNNNNNNNNNNNNNNNNNNNNNNNNNNNNNNNNNNNNNNNNNNNNNNNNNNNNNNNNNNNNNNNNNNNNNNNNNNNNNNNNNNNNNNNNNNNNNNNNNNNNNNNNNNNNNNNNNNNNNGAGGAAGAGAGUCCUCAACUUGAAGAAGAUUUACAAGAAGACAAGGAACAAGAUGAUCAAGAGCUGCAAUUUCCAAGUGAUCAAGUUGAAGACUCAUCAUCUACUACUCCUGAAGAAGUACAAGAAGCUGCUGUAGAUGAAGAUGAAGAACCUGAGAUUCAUUGGCCUAUUGUCAUACAUGAGCGCGAUGUGUCAGGUUUACCCAAUCCUCUUGAUGACAUGCUCCCUUGUGAUUUCUUUGCUUCUAACUUGCAUUGCAUGAUGCCAUCACUUAAGGUAGAUUUGAAAAACUAUUUGCUUGGACAUGAUCAUACACACCCUGUUAGUGGCAUUACUCUCAUUUGUGAUGAUCACAGUUACUUUCCUCGUGCUAGUUCUAUGCUUAAUGAAACAUAUCAUUCCCAUGUUAGUCUUGAGCUUAAUGAUAAAUAUCAUCCUCAUGUUAGCAUUGAGCUUACUGAUUUGUACCGUCCUAAACAUGUGCUUUAUAGCUAUGCUUAUGUAAUUGGGUACUCUAUAGAUGAUUUAGAGGGCAUUACCCUUGUCACUUGUAUUGUUUCCUUGGUUGAGUGCUCUUUCAGGUUGUUGCUUGUGCACGAUCCACUACAUGCUGACCAAGUUCGAGAUGACAUUCCCUGGGACCCCGGUGGACCCAUGGCAUGGGGAUGAGGAGAAGCAAGGAGCACACAUGAAGAGAGAAGCUGGAGCAGGCAUGAGGAUAGGGAAGCAAAAAGAGAAGAGCUGCAGCUUAGAGAGUGAUCAAGCGAGUGCUACUUCAUAGUGCCCGGUUAGCUGUUUCAUGACCCAUUCUGAGUAUAUCAUCCAUUGAUGCUUGCUGAAUUAACUUGCUAUUUGGGUUGCUUGUGCCAUUUCUUAAAUGUUGUCCCACUGAAUUUCACCUUUGACAUAUGGUGCUUGAUGAGAAUAUGCGAACUAAUUGUUGAAUGCCUUGUAACUAGUGAUCUACACCCUGUUUGCUCUGCUGAAAGUAGUGAAAGCUGUUAGUUCUGAGUGCUCAAAUCCCUAGUACACUAGAAAACUAAAUCAUUUUCUGCAUUUACUAUGAUACACCUACAUCACCAUGUUUAGAUGCUGAAUUUUUGCCAAGUGUGUUCCCAUUGAGAGCAAUCACCUAACCACUAUGGAAUAGCAUGCUAUGUUCCCUGGAUCGGUAGCAUGUGAACCAGACAUGGAGAAGUGAUGAUUCCUGUUUUUGUGCUUAUGCAUUGUUCAUUUAAGAUAAGUAAUAAUGAAUAAAUUAGUCUGACUACCUACAGUAGCAUGUCAUGUUCUUGGGAUCGGUGGCAUGUGAAAUCGGGUUAGCUUGGGCAGUAAUAAUAUAAAAAUGUAAUUGUCGAACCAGGUGUAUACCAUGUUCUCGGGAUCGGUGGUAUGUUCCUUUGGGGAGACAAACAAGAAAACUAUAUAAUUGGUCGAGCCGGGUGUAUACCAUGUUCUCGAGAUCGGUGGUAUGUUCCUUUGGUGAGAUCAAUAAAAUAUUAGCAUUACUUCCUUCAAAUUCAAUAAGUGGUUCAACAACAAAGUUAUAUUUCUGCAAAUAAGAGAUUUAAUUCCAGUUCUUUUUGUUCUCGGGAUCAUGCUCUCUUUAGGAAUCAUUUGGCGCAAUCAUCAUUUAAACUUGUUGGUCCUCUUUUAUCAUUGUAAAAGUUUAAAAUGGUCAUGCUUACCAGUAUCCUACUGCUUUGUAGCACUCUUAACCAUCAAUUUUCACUAGCUAAGUCCAAAAGCAUGCAUUGUUUAGAGAUCUACUUCACUUGGACAUUCUUUACUCAGUUCACUGUUCACAUUCUUGCUCUUGUCAUAUGCCUUUGCUUGAGGACAAGCAAAGAUUUAAGUGUGGGGGAACUUGAUAAGUAUAUUUCACAUAUAUAAUUUUGGUACUCAAAUAUAGCUUCUAUCGUGACAUAUUCGUCCAUUCUUGCCAUGAUUGAUUGAAUAUUGCUUGAUAAUCAUCAAAAAGGAUCAUUUACUAGUCUUUGGUCUAUCUUGCAGAAAUGUGCACAAAGGCACUAAUAAUCGUCAAGAUUCCGUCUAUGUGGCUAUCGAGAAGAGUGAAGAAGAGAAGAGAAGGAAGAAGAGACUUGUGUGAGAUGAAGAGAAGUAACCAGGGGGCUAGGUAAAGAAGUGGGAGGACCUUCUUGUGAAGAAAGAAGAGAAGAAAGAGGGCCAAAUCACAAAGUGCAGAUGAGAGGAGGGGAACAAAAUCCCUAGGCGCUGGAGGGAUCCGAUCGGGCCUGGCCAUAUCUCCAUCUCUCUUCUCCCCCACCACUUCUUCCACCUCAGGCCGCUGUCUCGGCCAGGCCGGCGUGGUGGUGCGCCUCUGCAGCCCAGCCACCACCAUCUCCAUCCAUCUCCGCUGCGCCACCAUCCACAUCAGCGCCGCUGCGCCAUCCAUCACCAGCACCAACACCCAGCGCCACCCAGCACCUCCACACACUCCACACCGCCGCCAUCCAUCACCACCGCACCACUGAACACCUCCGCGCGAGAGUUUCCCUGCUGCCGUCCUUCUUCCCUUGCCUCUGCUGCUGCUCUUGCUUGCGCCCCUGUGCUGCUGCCUUUCUUCUCCCCUUGCUACUGCUCCCCUUUUCUAGCGCCUCAACCUGCUGCUCCUUCUCCUUCGCCUGCUGCUAGUCCCUUUCCCCAUGCCUCUGCUGCUCCUCCUCUUAAAACUGCUGCUGCUCUUCUUCCCCACGUUCCUGCUCUGCACUCUGCUUCUCACCUCCGUUGCUGCUGUUUCUCUUCUGAACCUCUGCUACUGUUCAGCUCUGAACCUCUGCAUCUGUGUUGAAUGUGCUUUCAGUGUUCUUGACAUGUGUAAAACUGUUCAAUAUUCAGCUUACAAUUUGUGAAACUUUUGUGAUACAGUGAUGUCUCUAUGUUAUACAUAUAGCUUGUGUACUGCUUGCUGCAGUAAAUUUCAGUUUGUAAGUUCCUGUGAUAGCUCCAGUACAUGUGACUUUUAUGUUGUCUCAAGUUCCUGUUAUAUAUAUACAUAUGUGUGUGUCUGUGAUCUGAAACAUUUAUGUUCUAUCCUACAACCUUAUUGUGUUAGCAUUUUAUUUCUCAUGUAAAACGAAAAUACCAAAAAUAUUAUUGAAGAUAAUCUGAACCUCCUUUGCCCUUUUUGCAUUUUCUUUGGUGACGAUCUUUGGGUACAACCUUGUUUAGUGUAGGUUUAUUUUCUUGCAUUCAUAAUCUGAAUUGUGUUACCUAGCUUUAGCCAACCACCGUCAUUGAUUUGCCUAGUCCCUCAUGAGAACACGACACUCAUAGUUUGGGGCGUAAAAACCCCGCUAUAUUACAAUUGAUCAUUUUGGCGCCGUUGCCGGGGACUAGCGUCGAGCGAUUGUGCGAAGCUAUAGACUAGGCUUAGUAUAGUUUUUGUUUAAAUUUCCAGUCAAAUUUAUUUCUGUGUUUCUUUUACCUUUUUACUAUUUGUUGCUUCGGCUUAUUAGGAUACUAACCCUCUCACCAAUGUUUCAUGUUUGUGAGCGUGUGUAGGAUAUCUUAUUAUUUGUAGGCUGAUUGAUAGUUGCACUUGAACAUAUGGCUUUAGUACGUGAUCUUUGGUUGCCAAGUAGUUUGGACACGAUGACAGGGCCAAUUUGGCCAUCUAUUGAGGCCAAAAAUUUUGAGUUGAGGCCUGGACUUAUUGCUCUCGUCUUGCAGAAUCAGUUUAGAGGAUUACCCAAUGAAGACCCUCAUGAGCACAUUAGUAAUGUUCUGGAGUAUGCCAAUACAGUCUAGUAUCAUGGCGUUUCCCAAGAUGCUAUCAAGUGUAUGUUGUUCACAUUCUCUCUCAGAGAUGCUGCUAAGGACUGGUACUAUUCUUUUCCAUCAAGAUCAUACACUUGGGGUGAUAUUUCACAAGCUUUCCUGCAUAGAUAUUUUCCACUUUACAAGCAAGCUGCAAUUCGUGACCAGAUCCUCAGUUCUGCGCAAGAUGGUAGUGAGAGCUUGUAUGCAGCUUGGGAGAGAUAUAAGUAUUUGCUUAGAAAAUGUCCUAAUCAUGGGCAAAAGGAUUGGUUAGUGCUUCAGAUAUUCUAUAGAGGGAUGACACAUGCUUCAAGAGAUCUUAUUGAUAUGUCAACUGGUGGAACAAUCAUGAACAAGACCGUCGAGGGUGCAAUUAUUCUCAUUGAGAGCAUUGCCUUCCACCAAAUUCAAUGGGGUUAUGAAAGGCCUAGUUCAAAUCCGAAGGUUGCAAGCCUCGUGCAAUCAAAAGUUGUGUGUUCCAUAAGUGAACAGAAAUCAUCCAUGGUGCCUAAUAUUCAAAACCAGCAUGUUUCAUUCCGGGGACAACAACAUUUCAGAACUGAAUUAAAUCCUCCAUAUAGAACGAUUGAUCUUACUUCAAUUAUCCUUGAUGAUGAUUAUGAUAUUUUUCAAGAUGAUGAAACUACUGUAGAUCAGAUGGAAACCACAGUAGCAGAUCCAAUACCUCAUGGCAAUGAAACUGUCCAGAAUGAGUCAAAGCUGCAAGAAGAUGUUUAUGAGGAACCUACUCUGAUUGAUGCUAAGUUGAGACAGCAAGAUAUGGAGAUAUUCACUUGUGUUAGUCAACUAUGUGACUGGUGGAAUUUAGUCGUGUCACCAAUUGCCCACACUUGUGUUACAACGGUAUCUGGGCUAUUUGUCAAGAAGAAAUCAUUAGCUCCACCGGUGGUUGCCUCUAUCACAGUUAAAGAGAGUAUCUCAGAGAAGAAUAGUGAAGAUGAUAUUCCAACUCCUGCACAUACAACUAAGCAAGUCGGAGCCAUUCCAAGGAGAGAGAUACAAGAGGUUGAGUCAAAUUUAGAAGAGUUGAUACUUCAAUAUCCUGAGAAGAUCCCACGUGUUGCUGAGCUGCAUGACUGGUGGAAGUCAUCAGUGUCACUGUGGAGACUUAGUAGUGAUGGUGAUGAGGAGAACAUUGCUCAGAAAGACAACGAGGUAGUGAUCUCAGCACCCCUACCAGAUCAUGUUAGUGAAUAUUCACAUAUGGGGACACUUCAGACUCAAUUAAGUGUUGCUGGUAGUAGCACCAUAGAAGAUCCAGAGGAAGAGAGUCCUCAACUUGAAGAAGAUUUACAAGAAGACAAGGAACAAGAUGAUCAAGAGCUGCAAUUUCCAAGUGAUCAAGUUGAAGACUCAUCAUCUACUACUCCUGAAGAAGUACAAGAUGCUGCUAUAGAUGAAGAUGAAGAACCUGAGAUUCAUUGGCCUAUUGUCAUACAUGAGCGCGAUGUGUCAGGUUUACCCAAUCCUCUUGAUGACAUGCUCCCUUGUGACUUCUUUGCUUCUAACUUGCAUUGCAUGAUGCCAUCACUUAAGGUAGAUUUGAAAAACUAUUUGCUUGGACAUGAUCAUACACACCCUGUUAGUGGCAUUACUCUCAUUUGUGAUGAUCACAGUUACUUUCCUCGUGCUAGUUCUAUGCUUAAUGAAACAUAUCAUUCCCAUGUUAGUCUUGAGCUUAAUGAUAAAUAUCAUCCUCAUGUUAGCAUUGAGCUUACUGAUUUGUACCGUCCUAAACAUGUGCUUUAUAGCUAUGCUUAUGUAAUUGGGUACUCUAUAGAUGAUUUAGAGGGCAUUACCCUUGUCACUUGUAUUGUUUCCCUGGUUGAGUGCUCUUUCAGGUUGUUGCUUGUGCACGAUCCACUACAUGCUGACCAAGUUCGAGAUGACAUUCCCUGGGACCCCGGUGGACCCAUGGCAUGGGGAUGAGGAGAAGCAAGGAGCACACAUGAAGAGAGAAGCUGGAGCAGGCAUGAGGAUAGAGAAGCAAAAAGAGAAGAGCUGCAGCUUAGAGAGUGAUCAAGCGAGUGCUACUUCAUAGUGCCCGGUUAGCUGUUUCAUGACCCAUUCUGAGUAUAUCAUCCAUUGAUGCUUGCUGAAUUAAAUUGCUAUUUGGGUUGCUUGUGCCAUUUAUUAAAUGUUGUCCCACUGAAUUUCACCUUUGACAUAUGGUGCUUGAUGAGAAUAUGCGAACUAAUUGUUGAACGCCUUGUAACUAGUGAUCUACACCCUGUUUGCACUGCUGAAAGUAGUGAAAGCUAUUAGUUCUGAGUGCUCAAAUCCCUAGUACACUAGAAAACUAAAUCAUUUUCUGCAUUUACUAUGAUACACCUAGAUCACCAUGUUUAGAUGCUGAAUUUGUGCCAAGUGUGUUCCCAUUGAGAGCAAUCACCUAACCACUAUGGAAUAGCAUGCUAUGUUCCCUGGAUCGGUAGCAUGUGAACCAGACAUGGAGAAGUGAUGAUUCCUAUUUUUGUGCUUAUGCAUUGUUCAUUUAAGAUAAGUAAUAAUGAAUAAAUUAGUCUGACUACCUACAGUAGCAUGUCAUGUUCUUGGGAUCGGUGGCAUGUGAAAUCGGGUUAGCUUGGGCAGUAAUUAUUAUAAAAAUGUAAUUGUCGAACCAGGUGUAUACCAUGUUCUCGGGAUCGGUGGUAUGUUCCUUUGGGGAGACAAACAAGAAAACUAUAUAAUUGGUCGAGCCGGGUGUAUACCAUGUUCUCGGGAUCGGUGGUAUGUUCCUUUGGUGAGAUCAAUAAAAUAUUAUCAUUACUUCCUUCAAAUUCAAUAAGUGGUUCAACCACAAAGUUAUAUUUCUGCAAAUAAGAGAUUUAAUUCCAGUUCUUUUUGUUCUCGGGAUCAUGCUCUCUUUAGGAAUCAUUUGGCGCAAUCAUCAUUUAAACUUGUUGGUCCUCUUUUAUCAUUGUAAAAGUUUAAAAUGGUCAUGCUUACCAGUAUCCUACUGCUUUGUAGCACUCUUAACCAUCAAUUUUCACUAGCUAAGUCCAAAAGCAUGCAUUGUUUAGAGAUCUACUUCACUUGGACAUUCUUUACUCAGUUCACUGUUCACAUUCUUGCUCUUGUCAUAUGCCUUUACUUGAGGACAAGCAAAGAUUUAAGUGUGGGGGAACUUGAUAAGUAUAUUUCACAUAUAUAAUUUUGGUACUCAAAUAUAGCUUCUAUCGUGACAUAUUCGUCCAUUCUUGCCAUGAUUGAUUGAAUAUUGCUUGAUAAUCAUCAAAGAGGAUCAUUUACUAGUCUUUGGUCUAUCUUGCAGAAAUGUGCGCAAAGGCACUAAUAAUCGUCAAGAUUCCGUCUAUGUGGCUAUCGUGAAGAGUGAAGAAGAGAAGAGAAGGAAGAAGAGACUUGUGUGAGAUGAAGAGAAGUAACCAGGGGGCUAGGUAAAGAAGUGGGAGGACCUUCUUGUGAAGAAAGAAGAGAAGAAAGAGGGCCAAAUCACAAAGUGCAGAUGAGAGGAGGGGAACAAAAUCUAGGCGCUGGAGGGAUCCGAUCGGGCCUGGCCAUAUCUCCAUCUCUCUUCUCCCCCACCACUUCUUCCACCUCAGGCCGCCGCCACGGCCAGGCCGGCGUGGUGGUGUGCCUCUGCAGCCCAGCCACCACCAUCUCCAUCCAUCUCCGCUGCGGCACCAUCCACAUCAGCGCCGCUGCGCCAUCCAUCACCAGCACCAACACCCAGCGCCACCUAGCACCUCCACACGCUCCACACCGCCACCAUCUAUCACCACCGCACCACUGAACACCUCCGUGCGAGAGUUUCCCUGCUGCCGUCCUUCUUCCCUUGCCUCUGUAGCUGCUCUUUCUUGCGCCCCUGUGCUGCUGCCUUUCUUCUCCCCUUGCUACUGCUCCCCUUUUCUAGCGCCUCAACCUGCUGCUGCUUCUCCUUCGCCUGCUGCUAGUCCCUUUCCCCACGCCUCUGCUGCUCCUCCUCUUAAAACUGCUACUGCUCUUCUUUCCCACGUUCCUGCUCUGCACUCUGCUUCUCACCUCCGUUGCUGCUGUUUCUCUUCUGAACCUCUGCUACUGUUCAACUCUGAACCUCUGCAUCUGUGUUGAAUGUGCUUUCAGUGUUCUUGAGAUGUGUAAAACUGUUCAAUAUUCAGCUUACAAUUUGUGAAACUUUUGUGAUUCAGCGGUGUCUCUAUGUUAUACAUAUAGAUUGUGUAUUGCUCGCUGCAGUAAAUUUCAGUUUGUAAGUUCCUGUGAUAGCUCUAGUACAUGUGACUUUUAUGUUGUCUCAAGUUCCUGUUAUAUAUAUACAUAUGUGUGUGUCUGUGAUGUGAUACAUUUAUGUUCUGUCCUACAACCUUAUUGUGUUAGCAUUUUAUUUCUCAUGUAAAACGAAAAUACCAAAAAUAUUAUUGAAGAUAAUCUGAACCUCCUUUGCCC
rnacentral:lncRNA from 1 species